rnacentral:rRNA from 1 species
UACGUAGGCAGCGAGCGUUGUUCGGAGUUACUGGGCGUAAAGGGUGCGUAGGCGGUUGUUUAAGUUUGGUGUGAAAUCUCCCGGCUCAACUGGGAGGGUGCGCCGAAUACUGAAUGACUAGAGCGCGGGAGAGGAUAGUGGAAUUCCUGGUGUAGCGGUGAAAUGCGUAGAUAUCAGGAGGAACACCGGUGGUGUAGACGGCUAUCUGGACCGUAACUGACGCUGAGGCACGAAAGCGUGGGUAGCAAACAGG